rnacentral:rRNA from 2 species
CACGUAGGCACCAAGCGUUAUCCGGAUUUAUUGGGCGUAAAGAGCUCGUAGGCGGUUUGGUAAGUCGGGUGUGAAAACUCUGGGCUCAACCCAGAGAGGCCACCCGAUACUGCUAUGACUAGAGUACGGUAGGGGAGCGGGGAAUUCAUGGUGUAGCGGUGAAAUGCGCAGAUAUCAUGAGGAACACCAGCGGCGAAGGCGCCGCUCUGGGCCGUAACUGACGCUGAGGAGCGAAAGCAUGGGUAGCAAACAGG